GAUGAACGCUGGCGGCGUGCCUAAUACAUGCAAGUCGAGCGAACGGACGAGAAGCUUGCUUCUCUGAUGUUAGCGGCGGACGGGGGAGUAACACGUGGAUAACCUACCUAUAAGACUGGGAUAACUUCGGGAAACCGUAGCUAAUACCGGAUAAUAUUUUGAACCGCAUGGUUCAAAAGUGAAAGACGGUCUUGCUGUCACUUAUAGAUGGAUCCGCGCUGCAUUAGCUAGUUGGUAAGGUAACGGCUUACCAAGGCAACGAUGCAUAGCCGACCUGAGAGGGUGAUCGGCCACACUGGAACUGAGACACGGUCCAGACUCCUACGGGAGGCAGCAGUAGGGAAUCUUCCGCAAUGGGCGAAAGCCUGUCGGAGCAACGCCGCGUGAGUGAUGAAGGUCUUCGGAUCGUAAAACUCUGUUAUUAGGGAAGAACAUAUGUGUAAGUAACUGUGCACAUCUUGACGGUACCUAAUCAGAAAGCCACGGCUAACUACGUG
rnacentral:rRNA from 1 species